rnacentral:rRNA from 1 species
CGCCUGGGGAGUGCGGCCGCAAGGUUAAAACUCAAAUGAAUUGACGGGGGCCCGCACGAGCGGUGGAGCAUGUGGUUUAAUUCGACGCAACGCGAAGAACCUUACCUGGCCUUGACAUCCAGAGAGCUUUCCAGAGAUGGAUUGGUGCCUUCGGGAACUCUGAGACAGGUGCUGCAUGGCCGUCGUCAGCUCGUGUCGUGAGAUGUUGGGUUAAGUCCCGUAACGAGCGCAACCCCUAUCCCUGGUUGCUAGCAGGUAAUGCUGAGAACUCCAGGGAGACUGCCGGUGACAAACCGGAGGAAGGAGGGGAUGACGUCAGGUCAUCAUGGCCCUUACGGCCAGGGCUACACACGUGCUACAAUGGCGCGUACAGAGGGCUGCCAACUCGCAAGAGUGAGCCAAUCCCUUAAAACGCGUCGUAGUCCGGAUCGGAGUCUGCAACUCGACUCCGUGAAGUCGGAACCGCUAGUAAUCGCGAAUCAGAAUGUCGCGGUGAAUACGUUCCCGGGCCUUGUACACACCGCCCGUCACACCAUGGGAGUGGAUUGCACCAGAAGUAGUUAGUCUAACCUUCGGGAGGACGAUUACCACGGUGUGGUUCAUGACUGGGGUGAAGUCGUAACA